CAGCAGCCGCGGUAAUACGUAGGGUGCGAGCGUUAAUCGGAAUUACUGGGCGUAAAGCGUGCGCAGGCGGUUCGUUAAGACAGAUGUGAAAUCCCCGGGCUUAACCUGGGAACUGCAUUUGUGACUGGCGAGCUAGAGUGUGGCAGAGGGGGGUAGAAUUCCACGUGUAGCAGUGAAAUGCGUAGAGAUGUGGAGGAAUACCGAUGGCGAAGGCAGCCCCCUGGGCCAAUACUGACGCUCAUGCACGAAAGCGUGGGGAGCAAACAGGAUUAGAUACCCGUGUAGUCCCUGUCUCUUAUAC
rnacentral:rRNA from 1 species